rnacentral:miRNA from 1 species
UCUGAGAAGAACCAUUGGUACC